CGCUGGCGGCGUGCCUAACACAUGCAAGUCGAACGAGGUCCAUCCUUCGGGAGAAGACCUAGUGGCGAACGGGUGAGUAACACGUGAGAAACCUGCCCCGAAGACCGGGAUAACCCUCCGAAAGGAGAGCUAAUACCGGAUCGCCCCACCGAGCCGCAUGGCUUGGUGAGGAAAUGGAUUCCGCUUCGGGAGGGUCUCGCGGCCUAUCAGCUAGUUGGUGGGGUAACGGCCCACCAAGGCAUCGACGGGUAGCUGGUCUGAGAGGACGAUCAGCCACACUGGGACUGAGACACGGCCCAGACUCCUACGGGAGGCAGCAGUGGGAAUCUUGCGCAAUGGGCGAAAGCCUGACGCAGCAACGCCGCGUGGGGGAUGAAGGCUCUCGGGUUGUAAACCCCUUUCAGCAGGGACGAAAUCAGACGGUACCUGCAGAAGAAGCUCCGGCUAACUACGUG
rnacentral:rRNA from 1 species